rnacentral:tRNA from 1 species
GGGGAUGUGGCUCAGUGGUAGAGCACUUGUUUAGCCUGCUCAAGGCCCUGGGUUCAAUCCUCAGCACUGCCA